CCCUGGGUGGUGCAAACGGUUAGUGCACUUGGCUGCUAACCAAAAGGCUGGCAGUUUGAGUCCGCCCAGAGGCA
rnacentral:tRNA from 1 species